CUACGGGUCGCACCAGUUUGGAAUUUUGGACAAUGGGCGAAAGCCUGAUCCAGCGACGCCGCGUGGACGAUGAAGGCCUUCGGGUCGUAAAGUCCUUUUGCUCGGGAACAAUAUUUUGAGCGUACCGAGAGAAUAAGAGGUUGCUAACUCUGUGCCAGCAGCAGCGGUAAUACAGAGACCUCAAGCGUUAUCCGGAAUCAUUGGGCGUAAAGCGUAACGAUAGGUGGUUUUACAAGUCAGAAGUGAAAUCUCUCAGCUUAACUGGGAGACUGUCUUUUGAAACUGUAAAACUAGAGGGGCAAAGAGGAAGCUGGAACAAGCGGUGUAGUAGUGAAAUGCGUCGAUAUCGCUUGGAACACCAAUAGCGUAGGCAGGCUUCUGGGUGCCACCUGACACUGCUAGGACGAAAGCGUGGGUAGCGAAUGGGAUUAGAUACCCCCGUAGUC
rnacentral:rRNA from 1 species